ACACAUGCAAGUCGAACGAGCGAGAGAGAGCUUGCUUUCUCGAACGAGUGGCGAACGGGUGAGUAACGCGUGAGGAACCUGCCUCAAAGAGGGGGACAACAGUUGGAAACGACUGCUAAUACCGCAUAAGCCCACGGGUCGGCAUCGACCAGAGGGAAAAGGAGAAAUCCGCUUUGAGAUGGCCUCGCGUCCGAUUAGCUAGUUGGUGAGGUAACGGCCCACCAAGGCAACGAUCGGUAGCCGGACUGAGAGGUUGAACGGCCACAUUGGGACUGAGACACGGCCCAGACUCCUACGGGAGGCAGCAGUGGGGAAUAUUGCACAAUGGGGGAAACCCUGAUGCAGCGACGCCGCGUGGAGGAAGAAGGUCUUCGGAUUGUAAACUCCUGUUGUUGAGGAAGAUAAUGACGGUACUCAACAAGGAAGUGACGGCUAACUACGUGCCAGCAGCCGCGGUAAAACGUAGGUCACAAGCGUUGUCCGGAAUUACUGGGUGUAAAGGGAGCGCAGGCGGGAAGACAAGUUGGAAGUGAAAUCCAUGGGCUCAACCCAUGAACUGCUUUCAAAACUGUUUUUCUUGAGUAGUGCAGAGGUAGGCGGAACUCCCGGUGUAGCGGUGGAAUGCGUAGAUAUCGGGAGGAACACCAGUGGCGAAGGCGGCCUACUGGGCACCAACUGACGCUGAGGCUCGAAAGUGUGGGUAGCAAACAGGAUUAGAUACCCUGGUAGUCCACACCGUAAACGAUGAUUACUAGGUGUUGGAGGAUUGACCCCUUCAGUGCCGCA
rnacentral:rRNA from 1 species